AUGUUCAACAAUCUAAUUGGUACACAUUUGACUUGCACUCUCAGAAAAUGGUUCAGAAGAUAUUGCAUCUAUGUCAGCAGCCUAAUCAAAUAUCACUGAAAUCUCUGGGAACAUUAAAUAUGGUCACAGGAACUCAGAUUAUUAAAGGAAUCUACACAUACUACACUCUUCUCAAGGAGCUCUUCUAGAUAGAGCAACUUAUUGAUGUUUUUCUGCUGAUUUUUUGUUGCUCAUUUUGAUUUUUAUAUUUGAACUUUUAAAGUAGAUUAUUACAUGUCCUACAAGAAAGCAGUACGGACAAUUUUGAUUGU